GGGGGGUGAAGGAGAGAAAAGAUAGAGAGAGAGAAGAAGAGAGAGGGUGUGAGAAAGGGGAAGACAGGAGGGGGGGUGAAGGAGAGAAAAGAUAGAGAGAGAGAAGAAGAGAGAGAGUGGUGACAAAGGGGAAGACAGGAGGGGUGGUGAAGGAGAGAAAAGAUAGAGAGAGAAGAAGAGAGAGGGGUGAGAAAGGGGAAGACCGGAGGGGUGAAGGAGAGAAAAGCUAGAGAGAGAGAAGAAGAGAGAGAGUGGUGACAAAGGGGAAGACAGGAGGGGGGGUGAAGGAGAGAAAAGAUAGAGAGAGAAGAAGAGAGAGGGGGUGAGAAAGGGGAAGACCGG
ensembl:lncRNA